CAGCAGCCACGGUAAUACGUAGGUGGCAAGCGUUGUCCGGAAUUAUUGGGCGUAAAGGGCUCGCAGGCGGUUUCUUAAGUCUGAUGUGAAAGCCCCCGGCUCAACCGGGGAUGGUCAUUGGAAACUGGGAAACUUGAGUGCAGAAGAGGAGAGUGGAAUUCCACGUGUAGCGGUGAAAUGCGUAGAGAUGUGGAGGAACACCAGUGGCGAAGGCGACUCUCUGGUCUGUAACUGACGCUGAGGAGCGAAAGCGUGGGGAGCGAACAGGAUUAGAUACCCCCGUAGUCCCUGUCUCUUAUAC
rnacentral:rRNA from 1 species